rnacentral:rRNA from 1 species
UUUUUGAUUAAUAAUUUAAAGUCUAAUCUGCCCACUGAUAAUAUAUUAAAGGGCUGCAGUAUUUUGACUGUACAAAGGUAGCAUAAUCAUUAGUCUCUUAAUUGGUGACUUGUAUGAAAGAUUUGAUGAGAUAUAUACUGUCUCUUUUUAAUUUAUAAAAUUUAAUUUUUUAGUUAAAAAGCUAAAAUAUAUUUAAAAGACGAGAAGACCCUAUAGAGUUUUAUAUUUAUAUAAAUUAAAAUUUUUUAUAAGCUUUAAAAUUUUAAUUUAUAUAAAUAUUUUGUUGGGGUGAUAGAAAAAUUAAAAUAACUUUUUUUAUAAUUUUACAUUAAUAAAUGAAUAAAUGAUCCGUAAUUUACGAUUAUAAGAUAAAAUUACCUUAGGGAUAACAGCGUAAUUUUUUUUUUUAGUUCAAAUAAGAAGAAAAGUUUGCGACCUCGAUGUUGGAUUAAGAUAAAAUUUAAAUGCAAAAGUUUAAAAUUUUUGAUCUGUUCGAUCAUUAAAAUCUUACA